rnacentral:rRNA from 1 species
UUAAAAAGUUAAUUGUUCAAUCAAUUUAAUUUGAAAUUUUUUAAUUAUUAUAUUUUUUAAUUUAUCUAAAUUUAAAAGAAAAAAAUUUUUGUUUUAUUCAUAUAAUUUAAAAAAAUUGUUUUUAUUAUAGUUCAUAGUAUUGUGAAAGACAUUUAAAAUUUUUAAUUAGAAAAAUUUAUUUUUUGUACCUUGUGUAUCAGGGUUAAUUAAAUAUAUUAAAGAUUUAUUUUUCUCGAAUUUAAAAGAGCUAAAAAUUUAUUAUUUAUAUUGUAAAAUAACUAUAUUUAAUAAAUUUUUUGUAAUGAAAUGUUAUUCGUUUUUAAUUAUAUCUAGUUUUUUAAGAAAAAAAUUUAAUUUUUAUAUUAAGAAUAUAAUUUUUAUUUUUUAAUAUUAUAUUAUUAAUAUGUAAUAUUUUUAGGGAUGAGCUUAAAAAUAAAUUAUUAUUAGAAAAUUAAUAUAGAAAUUAUUUUAGGAUUAGAAAUUUUCAUAAGUUUAAGUAUGUUAUAAUUUAAUUUUUAAUAUUUAAUAUUUUUAUUUUUUAUAAUUAUUUUAUUAAAAUUUAUUUUUUAAUUUUUAAAAAUUAGUAAUAAUGAUUAAAUUAGUAUAAUAUUUUAAAUUAAUAUAUAUUUAAUUUAGGUUAAUUUAAGGAAUUCGGCAAAUUGAUUUUUCACCUGUUUAUUAAAAACAUGUCCUUUUGUUAAUAAUUUAAGGUCUAACCUGCCCACUGAGUAUUAAAUGGCCGCGGUAUUUUGACCGUGCUAAGGUAGCAUAAUCAUUAGUUUUUUAAUUGAAAGCUGGAAUGAAGGGUUGAAUGAAAAAAUAACUGUCUUAAAUUAAUUUUAUUAAAACUUUAUUUUUAAGUUAAAAAGCUUAAAUAUUUUUAAAAGACGAGAAGACCCUAUAGAGUUUUAUAAAAACUAUAUUUUAAAAUUUUAGAAUUUUUAUUUUUUAAGUAUUUUAUUUAUUUGAUUGGGGUGAUUAAAAAAUUUAUUAAACUUUUUUUUUAUUUUAAUAUUAAUUAAUAAAUAUUUGAUCCUAUAAUUUAGAUUAAAAGAAAAAAUUACCUUAGGGAUAACAGCGUAAUCUUAUUAGAGAGUUCAAAUCGAUAAUAGGGGUUGCGACCUCGAUGUUGGAUUAAAAUUUAUAUUUGGUGUAGAAGCUAAAUUAUUAAGUCUGUUCGACUUUUAAAAUUUUACAUGAUCUGAGUUUAAACCGGUGUAAGCCAGGUUGGUUUCUAUCUUUAAAUUGUUAAUAUAUUUUAGUACGAAAGGACCAAAUAUA